rnacentral:rRNA from 1 species
CAGGCGAAACUGGCGAAUGGGCUCAUUAUAUAAAGUUAUCGUUUAUUUGAUAGUACCUUACUACUUGGAUAACCGUGGUAAUUCUAGAGCUAAUACAUGCUAAAAAUCCCGACUUACGAAGGGAUGUAUUUAUUAGAUUAAAAACCAAUGCCCUUCGGGGCUCACUGGUGAUUCAUAAUAACUUCUCGAAUCGCAUGGCCUUGCGCCGGCGAUGGUUCAUUCAAAUUUCUUCCCUAUCAACUUUCGAUGCUAGAGUAGUGUUCUAGCAUGGUUACAACGGGUAACGGAGGGUUAGGGCUCGACCCCGGAGAAGGAGCCUGAGAAACGGCUACUACAUCCAAGGAAGGCAGCAGGCGCGCAAAUUACCCAAUCCCGACACGGGGAGGUAGUGACGAUAAAUACUGAUACAGGGCUCUUUUGGGUCUUGUAAUUGGAAUGAGUACAAUUUAAAUCCCUUAACGAGGAACAAUUGGAGGGCAAGUCUGGUGCCAGCAGCCGCGGUAAUUCCAGCUCCAAUAGCGUAUAUUAAAGUUGUUGUGGUUAAAAAGCUCGUAGUAGAACCUUGGGCCUGGCUGGCCGGUCCGCCUCACCGCGUGCACUGGUCCGGCCGGGCCUUUCCCCCUGUGGAACCUCAUGCCCUUCACUGGGUGUGUGGGAGAACAGGACUUUUACUUUGAAAAAAUUAGAGUGCUCCAGGCAGGCCUAUGCUCGAAUACAUUAGCAUGGAAUAAUAGAAUAGGACGUGUGGUUCUAUUUUGUUGGUUUCUAGGACCGCCGUAAUGAUUAAUAGGGACAGUCGGGGGCAUCAGUAUUCAAUUGUCAGAGGUGAAAUUCUUGGAUUUAUUGAAGACUAACUACUGCGAAAGCAUUUGCCAAGGAUGUUUUCAUUUAUCAGGAACGAAAGUUAGGGGAUCGAAGACGAUCAGAUACCGUCGUAGUCUUAACCAUAAACUAUGCCGACUAGGGAUCGGACGAUG